rnacentral:rRNA from 1 species
AGUAACGCGUGGGUAACCUGCCCUUAAGUCUGGGAUACCAUUUGGAAACAUAUGCUAAUACCGGAUAAAAGCUACUUUCGCAUGAAAGAAGUUUAAAAGGCGGCGUAAGCUGUCGCUAAAGGAUGGACCUGCGAUGCAUUAGCUAGUUGGUAAGGUAACGGCUUACCAAGGCGAUGAUGCAUAGCCGAGUUGAGAGACUGAUCGGCCACAUUGGGACUGAGACACGGCCCAAACUCCUACGGGAGGCAGCAGCA